rnacentral:rRNA from 1 species
UACGUAGGGUGCAAGCGUUGUCCGGAAUUAUUGGGCGUAAAGAGCUCGUAGGCGGUUUGUCGCGUCUGCUGUGAAAACCCGAGGCUCAACCUCGGGCCUGCAGUGGGUACGGGCAGACUAGAGUGCGGUAGGGGAGAUUGGAAUUCCUGGUGUAGCGGUGGAAUGCGCAGAUAUCGGGAGGAACACCUGUGGCGAAGGCGGCCCCCUGGUUGGAUACUGACGCUGAUACGCGAAAGCGUGGGGAGCAAACAGG